rnacentral:rRNA from 1 species
UACGUAGGGUGCGAGCGUUAAUCGGAAUUACUGGGCGUAAAGCGUGCGCAGGCGGUCUGUUAAGACCGAUGUGAAAUCCCCGGGCUCAACCUGGGAACUGCAUUUGUGACUGCAUGGCUAGAGUUUGUCAGAGGGGGGGUGGAAUUCCACGUGUAGCAGUGAAAUGCGUAGAUAUGUGGAGGAACACCGAUGGCGAAGGCAGCCCCCUGGGAUGUGACUGACGCUGAGGCGCGAAAGCGUGGGGAGCGAACAGG